rnacentral:rRNA from 1 species
UUGCUUUUCGCUGACGAGUGGCGAACGGGUGCGUAACACGUAUGCAACCUACCUUUAACUGAGGGAUAGCCCAAAGAAAUUUGGAUUAAUACCUCAUAACAUUACGAGAUCUCAUGGUCAUGUAAUUAAAACUCCGGUGGUUAAAGAUGGGCAUGCGCAACAUUAGCUAGUUGGUAAGGUAAUGGCUUACCAAGGCAACGAUGUUUAGGGGGUCUUAAAGGAUGGUCCCCCACACUGGUACUGAGACACGGACCAGACUCCUACGGGAGGCAGCAGUGAGGAAUAUUGGUCAAUGGACGAAAGUCUGAACCAGCCAUGCCGCGUGAAGGAUGACAGCCCUAUGGGUCGUAAACUUCUUUUAUAUAGGAAGAAACCCCUCUACGUGUAGGGGGCUGACGGUACUAUAAGAAUAAGCACCGGCUAACUCCGUGCCAGCAGCCGCGGUAAUACGGAGGGUGCAAGCGUUAUCCGGAUUUAUUAGGUUUAAAGGGUCCGUAGGCGGAAAUUUAAGUCAGUGGUGAAAGCCCAUAGCUCAACUAUGGAACUGCCAUUGAAACUG